CCUACGGGUGGCUGCAGUGAGGAAUAUUGGUCAAUGGGCGGAAGCCUGAACCAGCCAAGUAGCGUGCAGGAUGACGGCCCUACGGGUUGUAAACUGCUUUUAUACGGGAAUAACGCGCCUUACGUGUAGGGCUUUGCAUGUACCGUAUGAAUAAGGACCGGCUAAUUCUGUGCCAGCAGCCGCGGUAAAAAGGAAGGUCUGGGCGUUAUCCGGAUUUUUUGGGUUUAAAGGGAGCGUAGGCCGCAUGUCAAGCGUGCUGUGAAAUGUCCGGGCUCAACCCGGGCCUUGCAGCGCGAACUGGCGUGCUUGAGUCCGCGGAAGGCAUGCGGAAUUCGUCGUGUAGCGGUGAAAUGCUUAGAUAUGACGAAGAACCCCGAUUGCGAAGGCAGCUUGCUGCAGCGGAACUGACGCUGAUGCUCGAAAGCGCGGGUAUCGAACAGGAUUAGAUACCCUAGUAGUC
rnacentral:rRNA from 1 species